rnacentral:lncRNA from 1 species
UAAAAAAUGUGAUUGUGAAAGAACAAAGACUAAUAGUUGUUGUUGUUUCGUUAAGAGGAACCAAAUGUGUGGUGGAGAAAAAUGUUAGAUUCUCUCCAUUUAUUUAUUUUUAAAAUAAUAGAGAUAAUUAUAAGUGAAUUACCCUUCCAGAGACGCGUAUAAAUUUUUGGUGGAGGAGAUAAUGUUGCAUCUUUAAUUUCUUUUGACUUUAUUUGGAUUUAAAUGGUUUCUUUUAAGUUUUCUUCAUUUGAUUAAUAAUUAAUAGAGAAUCGACUUUCAAUUAAACAUAAUUGGAUUAAAGUAUGGUAUUUCAGCUGAAUGCAAUCUCUUGUAAAUUGGAG